rnacentral:rRNA from 1 species
AUUGAACGCUGGCGGCAUGCCUUACACAUGCAAGUCGAACGGUAACAGGUCUACGGAUGCUGACGAGUGGCGAACGGGUGAGUAAUACAUCGGAACGUGCCUAGUAGUGGGGGAUAACUACUCGAAAGUGUGGCUAAUACCGCAUGAGAUCUACGGAUGAAAGCAGGGGAUCGCAAGACCUUGUGCUACUAGAGCGGCCGAUGGCAGGUUAGGUAGUUGGUGGGAUAAAAGCUUACCAAGCCGACGAUCUGUAGCUGGGCUGAGAGGACGAUCAGCCACACUGGGACUGAGACACGGCCCAGACUCCUACGGGAGGCAGCAGUGGGGAAUGUUGGACAAUGGGCGCAAGCCUGAUCCAGCAAUGCCGCGUGCAGGAUGAAGGCCUUCGGGUUGUAAACUGCUUUUGUACGGAACGAAAAGCCCUGGGUUAAUACCCUGGGGUCAUGACGGUACCGUAAGAAUAAGCACCAGCUAACUACGUGCCAGCCGCCGCAGUAAGAC